rnacentral:lncRNA from 1 species
GCCUUUAGGAAACUUCAGGGCACAAAGACCAGGAAUCACAUGUCCAGGUCAUCAUGUCCAUCUGCUUGAAGCUGCGGAUUAAGAAGCAGGUAAUGGAUGGCUUUGCAGGGCCAAGUUCAAGUUCCCUGGACACCAGCAGAUCCCUAUCUCAAAGAACUCUGACAUCACCAAGUUUAAUGCAGAUGCAUUUGAAGACACAGUAACUGAGAAGUCGCCCAUCCUCUAUGGCAGUGGAGUCAAACACAUCCUUAACUGGGGUCUCCUGGACAAGUGGUGGGUCCUACACUCCUAA